UCUGAAGCAUGUAUGGAAUAAUCGAGUAAACAUAUACACUACUCAUGAAUAUGCUCAACAGAUCAUAAUGCUGGAACAUACAAAUCAGGUGUCAAUAUGCUGAAUCAUCAACAAGACAGCUAUUGGGAGGUGGAUUUUACGCCCCAGGCGAACCAGCAACAACUCCCUAUUGUCACAUGCAUAUGCAGGAUAAGACACCAUACCAAUAAUAUAAAUGCUAGAUAGCUAUCGGGAGGUGGGUUUUACGCCCCAGGCGAACCAGCAACAACUUCCCACUAUCACAUGCAUAUGCAGAAUAAGACACCAUACUGAUAAUAUAAAUGCAAGCCAGUAUCCAGAACAGAAAUCCAUCUCACAUCUAUAUACUAAACGGCACCUCGCGGGAAUUCUACAUCCGCAGAAAGCCAUACUGCACCUCGCGGGGUCUUACUACGUCCGGCGGCAAGCAGAAUAUAAGUCGUAGGACUGGCCAAUCCUACGCCUAGGGCCGUGUCCCCCCUAGGAAGGGACUGGGCUCCGCCCACCCAGAAGGCUACUAUGAGCACAAAGGCCGAUGUUCAACCCCAUCGACUAUAGGUGUCCUGCAGAUACUGCUAAGCCAUGCAUGAAUGUCAUAAUGCACCCUCCCAAUACUCUACUAAAAGGAGCAUAAUUAAGACUACCACUCACUCGACUCCGACCCAAUCAUAAACUAACAUUAGGGUUGGGAGUGAGGGGUCAAGGGUGUGCAAUGCAACUCAAUAUACCA
rnacentral:lncRNA from 1 species